rnacentral:miRNA from 1 species
UGGUGGCCCUUAGAAUCUCUGC